rnacentral:tRNA from 1 species
GAGGGUAUAGCUCAGUGGUAGAGUUCCUGCUUAGCAUGCUUGAUGUCUUGGGUUCAAUUCCCAGUAUCCCCG